UCCUUGGUGAACCAGCGGAAGGAUCAUUA
rnacentral:rRNA from 1 species